GAUGCUUUGCGCCGCAUUCUGGUGGCGGCUGUUCGCAGAGUUGCGCGAACUCCCUGUGAUGAUGUGCUUUCUUACGUUAGAAAUUGGAUUAGGAAGCCUUUAAGCAGGUACUUCUUCUUGCAUAAGCCUGCAUCGCCAACUAAUUCAUUUAUGCGGCCACUUUUUGUGUCGGCCGAAGAGAUCAGCAUGCAGCAAAGGAGUUAGUUGCGUGACGGACAACGGGGGGACUCGCGCAAAUUUCUCGGCUAUCACCACACCCAGAGGAGUAAAGGAAGCUUGAGAGUACGGCGUGAGGCUUGAUUGGGUAUCUGUGACGAGGUGUUCAGAACUAGGGUUUGUUUUUUUUUUCGGUUUUCCUCAUUUCUCCGAAAGGCUGGAUCACUUUGUGGAUUGUACGGCGAACGCCUGUUGUGACUGUGGCACCACGGAGUCGUCGGAGUGACAAAUUGGACGACGGGUGUUCAGAGGAGUUCGCGAUCAUGAUGGCGUGUUGCAUUAGUGAAGAAGCGAAAGAACAGAGAAGAAUCAAUCAAGAGAUCGAGCGACAACUACGAAAGGAUAAGCGUGAUGCCCGGCGGGAGCUCAAGCUCCUUCUGCUCGGCACAGGCGAGUCGGGAAAAAGCACCUUCAUCAAGCAGAUGCGGAUUAUCCAUGGCGACGGCUAUAAGGAUGAUAAUGAUAAAAAGGGCUUCAUCAAGCUUGUUUAUCAAAAUAUCUUCAUGGCCAUGCAGAGCAUGGUCAAGGCAAGGGAAAUGCUGAGGAUCCCUUUCCGCGAUCCAGAGAAUCAGGAAAACGCAAACCUGGUGAUGUCCGUAGACUACGAAACAGUCACGACCUUUGAGAAGCCCUACGUGGAUGCUAUCAAGCAGCUUUGGGCUGAUGAAGGCAUCCAGGAGUGCUACUAUAGGCGCCGCGAGUACCAGCUGACAGAUUCUGCCAAAUACUACCUAACAGAUGUGGACAGAAUAGCUGCCCCAAACUACCUUCCUACACAACAAGACAUCCUCCGGGUACGAGUGCCCACUACAGGCAUUAUCGAAUACCCAUUUGACUUGGACUCCAUCAUUUUCAGAAUGGUGGAUGUUGGUGGCCAGCGAUCUGAGCGGAGGAAAUGGAUCCACUGUUUUGAGAAUGUGACGUCUAUUAUAUUUCUAGUAGCCUUAAGUGAAUACGACCAGAUCCUUUUUGAAUCUGACAAUGAGAACCGAAUGGAGGAGAGCAAAGCUUUGUUCAAGACCAUCAUCACAUAUCCCUGGUUCCAAAACUCGUCUGUUAUUCUAUUUCUAAACAAGAAGGACUUACUAGAAGAAAAAAUUAUGUAUUCUCAUUUAGUGGACUAUUUUCCGGAAUAUGAUGACACGGAGAACAUUCGGAUGGUGUUCUGUGCUGUCAAGGACACCAUUAUGCAGAACAACCUUAAAGAGUACAACUUUGCCUGAUGCUUUCAUUCUCAGUCCUGCAUUCCUUUUGAGCCGCAUGCCUUGGGUUUGAAUGGACACAGAGAACAUCCGGUUCGUGUUUGCCGCCGUAAAGGACACCAUCCUGCAGCUGAACUUGAAGGAGUACAACCUAGUGUAGAAAUUGCCUGAAGUUGACCACAGGUUUUCCCCAGCCCACCCCUGGAGGCAGGUUGUCUUCUCUCUCUCUGCCCCUUCUCACAUCUUGCUCCCUCUCGUCCGGCUUGCAAGAGGAAGAGAACAUCACAAGCUCGGUGAAGAUCGCUUGCCGCGAUAAACCGACAGAGACGACGCUCCCCACUGCUUCCUCUGGUGGAGGCAACACAAUGCCAAGAGUGACAUCACUGUGGAUACUUUGCUGGCGCACAUAUGGACAACACAUAUGCUUGUUUUCCUAUAAAGGAGAAGAGACCGUGUGAGAGAGUCCUGCUCUCCUGCCUCUUCCUACAACAGGGGGGGUUGCGACUCUUUUAACCCACUGCGUGGUGCCAUUACUGGGGAGGAUGAAAGACAUGCCUUGUUGUAGCCACACACACCUUGGCAGACGCUUCUCCUUUCUCUUGGACUCGCAAACACAGCCUGUACACUUGUUUCAGUCUUGCUGCCCUGUAAGUUUUCUCUUUAUUAUGCUAUGCCCACCACACUCUGUUGCUGUUGUUUUGUUCCACUGAAAAUUUGUUACAACACUUCUGUGAUUUUUUUUUUCUUUAACAUACCUUUGUGAGCAGCUGCUGUUCAUGUCUAUUAGAUAAGAAAGUGUUACACAUGCCUGGGAUAACCUUCUUGAGGGUUGCAACCCUGAAGCCACUUAAGGACAUUUGUGCUGCUCCAUGUAUGUUGUCCCUGCACAUGCUGCCAGUUUUCUCUUCUUUUUUCUUAAGUCCGUUUUUAAAGGAGUGCCAAAAAAGAAAGGUGUUCGGAUGUGUGCUGCUUGCCAGCUGCAAGUACUUUUGCCACAUUGGUCAGCAUGGCUGGAAGCAUGAGAGAAUAGUGUUGUCACACCGCACUGGUGAGGCAUUGAUGCAGCACAUCUGUGCCAGAGCCUAUGGUUGUACGUCGGUACAGUGCACUCGUUGCAGAUUUGUAGACCUGCCUGCCCUUAACAAGCUCAAAUAAUGACAGGGGUGAACAAGUCCACGCUUGUGGACUUUUGUGGCAGUCCUUUUGAAACCAAUUGCCAUGCUUCGUAUAUGCUAGUGUUUGGUGCACAUCUGUAUGCGAGUUCCUUCUUUCAUUUUUCUUACUAUUGCUUUCUCCUCGUGUCGUUCACAAGUGCCCACCUGUCUGCCAGUUUGCGAGUUUUUGUCCCUCCCCCCACCCUUCUUUUUUUUCUUUUUUUCAGCAGGUUUUGUUCAAACCCUUUUACCUAGUCAGCGUUUUGUACAUAGGCAACAUGGCAGGUGGCAUUGUGCGUCAUUGCGAGUUCUGGAACAGCUGUGGGUCCAAUUCUGCACUCCUUGGCAAGCACACCAUUCUGUCAGCGCCUAAACGCAACCAUUGGGAAUGUGUGUUGUGCAAGUGCUUAGGGGGGAGAGGGGAAACAACUUGCGAGACAGGCUCUGCGAGAAGGUGCCUGAAGUGCCGCAGUAGGCCUCAUAGCCGAGACCUGUCAGCAGUAUUGUGGAUGCGCAGCUCUGGCUUGGUUCCCUUUUUUGGCCAUUGUGCGUCUCCUUGGAAUGAUUGUGCUGCACCUGCUAUUCUCAGCAUGCUUCUGUCUUGAAUGUGUGCAUGUGUGUUUUAGAUAUUGGGCAAACAAACAAACAAACAAGUACAGUUCUCCAGACAAAGGUGCAGUUGGAGGACAACCCCCUUUUAGGCUGCUGAAGUAUAGCUAUAUUUCUUUUUUCAUUCCACCCCCACCCCCCUUUUUUUUCACAACACUAGGUGAACCCAUUUAGAAUCAAUUGCCAAUCAAUUGCUGUGUUCAUAAGAGCGGGAUUUUGGCCAUAUUAUAGAUGGACCUUAUCAGAAUCCGCUGUGUAACGCACAGUAUUGGUUUUUACCUUUUUGUCAAAGUCGCUAGUGGUUAUGCUUGGUUUUAGUCUCUGUAUCAGCUGGCAGCCCCAUGAUGACUGACAUUUACAAUAAUGUAUUGAACAUUGAGUAUUGCUGUACUAGUUGCUCAUUUUCUAUGACACCUUUCAUCCUCUGCAAAGUCUUCAUGUGGAUUACCAAAACACAACUGCCCACUGUAUUUUAUGUAUGCAUGUCUCUCUCUCCAAUCAUUUUUCUUUGUCUCUUUUUGUUUAUUCUGGCAGACCUACAUUUUGAGAGCAGCCUAGGAGUCUUCAGGGUACAGACCCUUUUUCGCAUGUUUCAUUCUCCAAGGCGGGGGCUGGGACAUAAUUAUACUGCCACGUUGCAAAUACGCCAGGAUGUGAGCGAAUGCGAGGAAAACACUGGUCCUCCUGUUUGUUUGGGAGUUGGGCUGAUUUGGAAGCUUGUCAGUGUUCACAGACUGCUUGCCAUGGUGCAUUGAGAGAGGCUUUCCUCGAAAAGCUCUUCAUUGUCGCCAUCCCAAAGUGUUUGUGGUGCGACGUUUCGUCCUGACGGAGGCAACAAACCACACAAUGGUGUCUCACUUAUUCUCGCAGACAUCCUUCUGAAUGAGCAAAUGGGUGUGUAGUUUUCAGCUACAACAGGUGUAGUGCGCCCUCAGUGAAAGGGUGACAUGCUCUCCACUUGUUACUUCAUCCUCCCUCUCUGAACCCCAGCCCCCUUCUCUACUUUUUUCACAAUGCCUUGCUGCUGCUGUUGCUGCUGCUGUUGCUGGAAGUAUGCGUGUAGGACUGUGAGAAGACAACAGCAGAAGAAAAAAAAAAUGGGGUGUGUGCUGAUGUUUUUUAUAAGCUUGCGCAUGCGCGCAUUGUGCGACUGUGGUGUGUUUGUGUUGUUUGACAGGGAAAAACAAAAAGAUGUGCAAAUGAGCUUUUUUGAAGUCCGACCGCGUGCAAAAGAAGACAAAAUGUGUAUCUUAGUAUGGUGUGUAUGUCAGGCCUAUCUUUUUUUAUAUAUAUAUAUAUAAGGAAAAAAAAUGCUAGUUAUUUAAAAGAGGACAGUGUGUAAAGAGUAUGAUUAGUGUUUUAUAGAGCAAUGCAUAUGGUCCCCUUCUUAAGCCCCUUUCCACUGUCAUUCCCGAAGUGCUUGUUCCUCCUUGGUCCUCCAUUCUCUUCACAGCCUGCCCCCACCUUCCUCAUUGCGUGCGGUUAAUCUCUGUCCCAACCUCUCUCCUCAAUUUCCCUGUGUUGUGUUGUCUCGCUGCAGUUAAAGGUGGAUUUCCUCUCCUGCGUGGUUCCCGCUUUUGGCUCAUCCCUCCAUCCUUAAUCAUUACCGCAGUUCCCUUUUCGGUGACCUAUUCGAUGAAACAAGAAAAAAAAACAUACUUGGUACCUGAUUCUUGUCACAUAAGGCAGGAGGACAGAGUUUUUUUCAAAGCGCUGGACUUCGCUUUCAUAGGUGCAUGGUGCAGGAGUUGAACUUGGUAGUUGUACUUUUUCUGGGGGCACACCAAUGACGUUCCGGCGACUUCUGGGCGGGGGGCUAGGCUGGGAGGAGAAUAGUGUGCGUGCGUUUGGCCAUUUCUCUAAUUUCUUCUUUCCUUCUUUACACUUUGCUUGACAUUCUCUCACCACUCCUCUUCACCGUGCUUUUCAGCCCUUUUCUUAGGCUCAAAGGAAAAAAAAGGGGGGGGGAUCGGAGCAUCUGCUGUUUGCAGCCUAUUGUCUUUUUUUUUUUGCAAUGUAGAACAAAGCCUAAUCAUUUAUUCACUAUUAUUAUUAUUAUUAUUAUUAUUAUUAUUGCUCCUGUGUUUUGUACAGUAUUGUUCGGAGCGUCGUUUAUAGUUGAGAGGAGAUAUAUAUAUAUAUAUAUAUAUUAGUUUCGUAGGAUACUUGCCUGUUGUGUUUUAACAGUGCAUUUUUUUUUUUGCCCCCGUCCGAUGCCUUGCCAAACUAUUUUGGGGUUUCUGCAUAGUGCGGAAGUCAAGCUGAUGUUUCUUCAGCUACUUUACGCUUGUUGCAAAGUAUGCGUUUUCGCCUUGGGGGCCUUGUUGUGUGAAGGCUGGAAGAGGCGACUUGUUUGUUUCUUGUCAUGCAUUUUUUCUUUGUCAUGUUGAUUGUUUUUUUCUUAUUGUUUGUGCUGCACACACAUGAAAUUUCUUUUGUUGAUCGUGCAUGGCGCGCUGCGCGGCUGUACGGACUCUCAUUACAAUGUAUAUGGCGCUUCCUCGAUGACGAGACACGCUGCAUCUCCAGGAAAACUGCAGUGUGUGUGACCAUUGUGCAGAAGAUAGCAGCACCAGACAGAACAGGAAUGGACUCCCACCUAGUACGGGACAAGGUGUGCAUGUAUUGUGUGUGUGCAUGUAUAUAUUAUACAUACAUAAAAUAUAUAAAUAUAUAUAAAUGAUACGAGCUCUUGACGAAAACAUAAUGCUUUGUCAGGUCAUUCAGAGGGGGCUCUGAGACACACACACUUUGAGGACUUUACCUUUAUAUGGAUGUGUAAAUUUGUAAUAUUCAAAUUAAUGCAACCGUUGGGUAAAGUAUUGAAUAAAUUCUCUUAAAUUCUCGUUUGAAAAUGA